CUCAGCUGUUGAGGAAGACACACUCACACAGAGGGUCUGUCUGUCUGUCUGUCUGCCUGUGUGUCUGCCUGUGUGAAAGGAGGCAACUGUUUUGCCACCGACAGACACUUCCUCCUGACAGACACGUAGCUGGAAAGUGACACGACGCAUCUCAGUUGUCACUCAUCAGCAGCAGCAGCCUCUACUGACCGAUCGGCCAUUCAUCUCCUAUUGUCAGAUCAACUUUGCCAGUCCUGCUGCUGAGAUGACUGAGAUGGCACCCCCACCCCCUGCUCCCUCACUCUGAACCAGCUGCCACAAGCCAGGGCCUGAAGACCAGGGCCUGAAGACCAGGGCCUGAAGACCAGGGCCUGAAGACCAGGGCCUGAAGACCAGGGCCUGAAGACUGCCGUUUGGGAUGCAUCCUGCCCUUCACACAGCCAUGACAAAAAAUGUUGAUGUGCUCUUGAGCAAGGCAAUUAACCCUAAUUGUUCCUGUACAGUAAUAAGCGUGUCUGCUAAAUGACUAAAAUGUGCACACACAAUGGGCACAUAGGUUGAUGUAUCUCAGUAGAAAUAUCCUAAUCUUUAUCAGAUAAGGUGGUAAAAACAAUGAAGGCAGGUCAGUGUACCAUCCAUCUACACUGAGUAAACCAAACAUUUGGGACACCUUAAUAUUGAGUUGCGUCCACCCACCACCACACCGUGAUGACUGCAUGAAUAUGCAAGGCCUGUAUGCAAUCCUAUUUAUAUGUAAUCAGUGUUAGAGUAUGUAUAUUCCUUAUAAUAAUGUAUAAUGACUUAUUAAUGAAGGGUAUGAUUACAUAGUUGUGUCUUAAUUAAUAAGACAGUUGACCUAACACAAAGCAUCACCCUCAAGGCGGCACUGUGUCCAUGGAAGUAUUCACGACUCAUCUCAGCUCAUCUCCUACCUUAGCUGAUUGAAGCUGAGAUCUAGCCGUCUUGCCAAGCAUCCAUAUUUUUUUCCAAGGAACUCUGGGAUGUCCUCACAGUCAUGUCCAAUAUAGGAAACCUGUAAAGCAACAACAGAGAGAUACAGAGAUACAUGUUAAUUAAUGGGAUACAACAGGGACAGAGUGGGCAGAGUGGCCCGGGCAUUUCUAACACACCGUUGGAUUUUUUAUCCUUGAGGUCCCCAUUGUUAGCCAAAUAAUGAUCAGUAUGUGCAAAAUAAUAAUAAUAACAUUUUAGACAGGACUACUGGGCUAAAGGUGGACCAGCACAUCGGGCAUCUGCCCAAACUGCUCUAUGGCCAGUCCGUUUCUGUGUUAAAGUGAGUAAGAGUAAAUAGCCAAUGGUGGAGUGAAUGUGUUUAAGCUUAUGGGGCAGGGUAGGUGGUAUGGUGUACGGUUUACCUUUGUUUGUGACCUGAGGAAUUGUGAAACGAACAACAAUACAUUCUCUAUCAGCUACACAUCCAAUAAUAUUAAUUUUCUUGAUUGAGAAAAUGAUUGUACUCCGGGCACCAUCGGGAAUGAAACCAUGGUCUCAUUUGUGCUCCCCUGAAUAGUUAAAGUUAAAUCAAUGACAGAAUAUUGGACAUUGAAUGUAUUUAAGCCAUUUGAUGGCUCGGCCAAUGUGACAGACCUUCCAGGUAGCCUAUGUUUGAUACCUGGUCAGUUACAUUGUCACUUUCAUUUAAACAUGCCCUGUAUCCUUUAAGGUGCACGGUAGUGUAUUGACUCUGUACACCUGCCCUGUGCACACAACUGUGCUCACUGCUCAGCUUCGACACAUUGUUAAAACACCAUCGAAUAGACUAGAUCAUAAAGCCAUGUCUGCGCUGCAGUAAUGCGUUUCAAACUUUAUAAAAACGAGCUUGCAUUCUACCUGCCAAAACACUACAGUUCCGCAACUAAUGAAAAGUUAUUUAAGUCACAUGACAGUAGCAGCACAUGACAAUGGAGGCAAUGCAGCGUAGCCUACCAGAAAUGCACGAAAAACAAAUCCUCUAAGCGACAUACACUGAUAACUACCCGACUGUAUACUGUUCGUUUAUAAUUGCAAACGAGAAAUGCUACCAACACUAAAUGUUGGAAAUGAUUCACACUUACUUGGGUUCCAUUCAUUGUGACCAUAGAGUCGCUGUAUGCCAUGAUGAUGACAGUUCAGUUACUAGGCUACCUCUGUGAAAUAACUACAGGAGUGGAACUGGUACAGGUACUCUUAUGCUUUAAAAUAAAUUUUUAAAACGUUACUGUCAGUAGCUUUCCAAAAAGGUCACUAUUUUGUUUGGUUACUUGAGGUUUCGAAUUUACUUCUUCCGCAUACUUCCUCCGAAUCAGCUGAUCCAAUGCGGAAACGCGCUAUUACUAGUAUUAUGGCAGGAUUCGCUUGUGUCGCAUUUCAGAGUGGUGGAGACAGUCCUUAACCUAAAAUGCCAUAGGCCUAUAUUCUUAGUUAUUGUUCCUGAACUGUGGUUGGAACUAGUUACGAUAUAGGCCAGGCUAAGAGCUUGAGCUUAAAGUUGGAAUAAGAUUGCAUCUGGAACAGGUGAUUGGUAGAAUGCAAAACACUAGCCUAUUUACUAUUAAUCAUCAGUGCAAGCCUUAUAGGAUGUGGGGUACGUACAUACUUACACACUAUUUGUUUGACGACCAAACCCGGACGACGCUGGGCUAAUUGUGCGCCGUCCUAUGGUACUCCCAAUCACGGCUGGUUAUGAACCAGGGUGUCUGUAGUGACGCCUAAAGCACCGAUAUGCAGUGUCUUGCUAACCAAACCGAACGUGCGUCCGCUGUUGAUUUUGUUCACCCACAGCAGAAACGAUCAGGACACUCAGGUUGAAAUAUCAAAACAAACUGAACCAGUGAUAUUACUUUGGGGACGGGACGAUGUCAUUAGCGCCUUUUCUGCCUACAUUUUCAGUGGCCCUGUUGAAAUGUAUUUUGAUUAUUCUGAUUUCACCGCGAUUGAGGAGUGGUAACAUGAGUAAGUAAGUACAUGAUUGUACAAUAGUGAUAUUGCCAGGACAGGAGUAUAAUUUAAUAAGUGCAAAUUGUAGUUUUACACCUCUAGACACAUUCCUCUCCCCAAACCACUCUGGUAUGAGAUAUAAACUAUGCAUUUACUGAAUAAAAGCCCAUGAAAUACGAAACUGUAAUAGUAUACUCAUCCAAACAAGUACAAAAAUAAACAAUACUUUAUGCUUUUUUA